UACGUAGGGUGCGAGCGUUAAUCGAAAUUACUGGGCGUAAAGUGUGCGCAGGCGGCCGCGCAAGUCGAGUGUGAAAUCCCCGAGCUUAACUUGGGAAUUGCGCUCGAAACUACGUGGCUGGAGUGUGGCAGAGGAAGGUGGAAUUCCACGUGUAGCGGUGAAAUGCGUAGAUAUGUGGAGGAACACCGAUGGCGAAGGCAGCCUUCUGGGCCAACACUGACGCUCAUGCACGAAAGCGUGGGGAGCAAACAGG
rnacentral:rRNA from 1 species